AGUGAUCUAUUUUGUGGAUCUUUUCAAAAGACCAGCUCCUGGAGUUAUUGAUUUUUUGAAGGGAUUUUUAUGUCUCUAUCUCCUUCAUUUCUGCUCUGAUCUUAGUUAUUUCUUGUCUUCUGCUAGCUUUUGAGUUGUUUUGAUAUUGCUC